GGAGCAUAAUCUCUGACCGGGGGUGGUGGUGGCGGUGGGGAGGAAGUGAUGUCACGCCGAUCCAGCUGGAAGCUUUCUUCCCAAGCAGAGCAAUCGCCUCAAGGCAGAGAACAGAGACUCCACGCCCUCGGAGAAGACACGGGGACAAGGUCGACCUAGGAGGAGGGGAACAGAGGACAACUGGAAGGGUGGAGGAGGAGGAGGAGAAGAAGGAGGGCAAGAGGACGGGUGGUGCUCUGACUAAUGGCUGGGCAUCAGUUUAUGUGCCAUAAUAAAAACUGUGAAAACUAA